AUGCAAAACAAACCAAUUAAAUGAAGAAAGAGAAACAUUCAGAGAGCAAAGAGAGCCCUUGUGACUGAGAGCAGCUGUGUGCUCAGCCCAGGAUCCGGCAGCUCUCCGUGGUGCUGACGAGGAUGAUGGGUCCCAGGCUUCCACCCUUCAUUAGGGACCAGAGAUGGAUGGUGAUGUUUUCCCCCUGAGCAGCCAAUCAGCGAAGACUCUCCAUCUGCUGCAGCAGCACUAACACACUGGAGCAGAGACACCUGAGUUCCACAGAAGGAGGACAACAUGACAAGCACUAAAGCAUAUCCGACCAUGGGACCUGGGAAGACCUCUAGUGGCUCACUGUUUCUGUGUCUGGUGAUGUGUCUGAAGUCACUGCAGGCCAACAGUGUGUGAUUGCUGGAGUAACACUCACAAGGAGAAAAAAACAAACUGGAAUCGUGAAGACAGCUGCACCCUAUAGAAUGAAGAGCUGGCUCAUACCAGCUCCGAAGGGUUCAUUAUUAAAUUUCAGAGUUUUUCUGCUCCAACUGUUAAACAC